rnacentral:rRNA from 1 species
UUAACUGACGCUGAGGCACGAAAGCGUGGGUAGCAAACAGGAUUAGAUACCCUGGUAGUCCACGCUGUAAACGAUGAUUACUAGGUGUGGGUGGACUGACCCCAUCCGUGCCGCAGUUAACACAAUAAGUAAUCCACCUGGGGAGUACGACCGCAAGGUUGAAACUCAAAGGAAUUGACGGGGGCCCGCACAAGCAGUGGAGUAUGUGGUUUAAUUCGAAGCAACGCGAAGAACCUUACCAGGUCUUGACAUCGAGUGACGUACCUAGAGAUAGGUAUUUUCUUCGGAACACAAAGACAGGUGGUGCAUGGUUGUCGUCAGCUCGUGUCGUGAGAUGUUGGGUUAAGUCCCGCAACGAGCGCAACCCUUGCUAUUAGUUGCUACGCAAGAGCACUCUAAUAGGACUGCCGUUGACAAAACGGAGGAAGGUGGGGACGACGUCAAAUCAUCAUGCCCCUUAUGACCUGGGCUACACACGUACUACAAUGGCCGCCAACAGAGGGAAGCAAUACAGCGAUGUGGAGCAAACCCCUAAAAGCGGUCCCAGUUCAGAUUGUAGGCUGCAACCCGCCUACAUGAAGUCGGAAUUGCUAGUAAUCG